AGGAGUACGAAGGUGCGCUCAGACCGGUCGGAAAUCGGUCGUAGAGUCUAAAGGCAAAAGCGCGCUUGACUGCGAGACAGACACGUCGAGCAGGUACGAAAGUAGGUCUUAGUGAUCCGGUGGUUCUGUAUGGAAGGGCCAUCGCUCAACGGAUAAAAGGUACUCCGGGGAUAACAGGCUGAUACCGCCCAAGAGUUCAUAUCGACGGCGGUGUUUGGCAACUCGAUGUCGGCUCAUCACAUCCUGGGGCUGAAGCCGGUCCCAAGGGUAUGGCUGUUCGCCAUUUAAAGUGGUACGCGAGCUGGGUUUAGAACGUCGUGAGACAGUUCGGUCCCUAUCUGCCGUGGACGUUUGAGAUUUGAGAGGGGCUGACCUUAGUACGAGAGGACCGGGUUGGACGAACCUCUGGU
rnacentral:rRNA from 1 species